rnacentral:rRNA from 1 species
AUUGAACGCUGGCGGCAUGCCUUACACAUGCAAGUCGGACGGCAGCACGGGAGCAAUCCUGGUGGCGAGUGGCGAACGGGUGAGUAAUAUAUCGGAACGUGCCCAGUCGUGGGGGAUAACGCAGCGAAAGCUGUGCUAAUACCGCAUACGAUCUACGGAUGAAAGCGGGGGAUCGCAAGACCUCGCGCGAUUGGAGCGGCCGAUAUCAGAUUAGCUAGUUGGUGGGGUAAAGGCCCACCAAGGCGACGAUCUGUAGCUGGUCUGAGAGGACGACCAGCCACACUGGAACUGAGACACGGUCCAGACUCCUACGGGAGGCAGCAGUGGGGAAUUUUGGACAAUGGGCGCAAGCCUGAUCCAGCAAUGCCGCGUGCAGGAUGAAGGCCUUCGGGUUGUAAACUGCUUUUGUACGGAACGAAACGGCCCUUUCUAAUACAGGGGGCUAAUGACGGUACCGUAAGAAUAAGCACCGGCUAACUACGUGCCAGCAGCCGCCGUAA